rnacentral:rRNA from 1 species
GACGAACGCUGGCGGCGUGCCUAAUACAUGCAAGUAGAACGCUGAAGAGAGGAGCUUGCUCUUCUUGGAUGAGUUGCGAACGGGUGAGUAACGCGUAGGUAACCUGCCUUGUAGCGGGGGAUAACUAUUGGAAACGAUAGCUAAUACCGCAUAACAAUAGGUGACACAUGUCAUUUAUUUGAAAGGGGCAAUUGCUCCACUACAAGAUGGACCUGCGUUGUAUUAGCUAGUAGGUGAGGUAACGGCUCACCUAGGCGACGAUACAUAGCCGACCUGAGAGGGUGAUCGGCCACACUGGGACUGAGACACGGCCCAGACUCCUACGGGAGGCAGCAGUAGGGAAUCUUCGGCAAUGGGGGCAACCCUGACCGAGCAACGCCGCGUGAGUGAAGAAGGUUUUCGGAUCGUAAAGCUCUGUUGUAAGUCAAGAACGAGUGUGAGAGUGGAAAGUUCACACUGUGACGGUAGCUUACCAGAAAGGGACGGCUAACUACGUGCCAGCAGCCGCGGUAAUACGUAGGUCCCGAGCGUUGUCCGGAUUUAUUGGGCGUAAAGCGAGCGCAGGCGGUUUGAUAAGUCUGAAGUUAAAGGCUGUGGCUCAACCAUAGUUCGCUUUGGAAACUGUCAAACUUGAGUGCAGAAGGGGAGAGUGGAAUUCCAUGUGUAGCGGUGAAAUGCGUAGAUAUAUGGAGGAACACCGGUGGCGAAAGCGGCUCUCCGGUCUGUAACUGACGCUGAGGCUCGAAAGCGUGGGGAGCGAACAGG